AGUGAACGCUGGCGGUAGGCCUAACACAUGCAAGUCGAACGGCAGCACAGUAAGAGCUUGCUCUUACGGGUGGCGAGUGGCGGACGGGUGAGGAAUACAUCGGAAUCUACUUUUUCGUGGGGGAUAACGUAGGGAAACUUACGCUAAUACCGCAUACGACCUACGGGUGAAAGCAGGGGAUCUUCGGGCCUUGCGCGAUUGAUUGAGCCGAUGUCGGAUUAGCUAGUUGGCGGGGUAAAGGCCCACCAAGGCGACGAUCCGUAGCUGGUCUGAGAGGAUGAUCAGCCACACUGGAACUGAGACACGGUCCAGACUCCUACGGGAGGCAGCAGUGGGGAAUAUUGCACAAUGGGCGCAAGCCUGAUCCAGCCAUACCGCGUGGGUGAAGAAGGCCUUCGGGUUGUAAAGCCCUUUUGUUGGGAAAGAAAAGCAGCAGGUUAAUACCCCGCUGUUCUGACGGUACCCAAAGAAUAAGCACCGGCUAACUUCGUG
rnacentral:rRNA from 1 species